CCGACCUUAGCUCAGUUGGUAGAGCGGGAGACUGUAGUGGACAGACAGACAUCUCUAGGUCGCUGGUUCGAAUCCGGCAGGUCGGA
rfam:Marchantia polymorpha subsp. polymorpha scaffold3309, whole genome shotgun sequence.